GACGAACGCUGGCGGCGUGCUUAACACAUGCAAGUCGAGCGGUAAGGCCCUUUCGGGGGUACACGAGCGGCGAACGGGUGAGUAACACGUGGGUGACCUGCCCUCAGCUCUGGGAUAAGCCUGGGAAACCGGGGUCUAAUACUGGAUAUGACUCCAUGACGCAUGUUGUGGGGUGGAAAGCCUUGUGCGGCUGAGGAUGGGCCCGCGGCCUAUCAGCUUGUUGGUGGGGNGAUGGUCUACCAAGGCGACGACGGGUAGCCGGCCUGAGAGGGCGACCGGCCACACUGGGACUGAGACACGGCCCAGACUCCUACGGGAGGCAGCAGUGGGGAAUCUUGCGCAAUGGGCGAAAGCCUGACGCAGCGACGCCGCGUGAGGGAUGACGGCCUGGUUGUAACUA
rnacentral:rRNA from 1 species